UGCCAACGAUGAGGGUUCACCCCGCAGCAGGAACACUCCAAGCUGUGUCACUGUGUCAGCUCUUCCUACCCACCUACAGGCCAAGAUGUGCCCCAGACCCUCAAAGAGGGCCUUUAACAACCUGGAUUAGAUAACCCUGUAGAUUCCGCUGUUCACCUUGGUAGCCAGCGCCUAUUGACAAGUGCAGCUCCCUGAGCCUGGGGUCAAGUUAGCACAGAAAAUUUGUCAGGAUCAUUCUAUUGACUUCCGUGUGUGUGUGUGUGUGUGUGUGUGUGUGUGUGUGUGUGUGUGUGUGGCAGUGACUGUUACUGUUAAAAAUAUCCAUUUUACACAAGGCCAACCUCUUGCACACUUCAGGCUCUUGCACAUGGGGCCAUCCCCCCAGGGCCCGGCAGGCCUCUCUCCCCUCAGCAUUCACUUUUGCAUGUCUUCAGGGGAGCCUUCCUUGAGGCCCACCUCCAACUCCUAACCCUCCCUGUCAUUCCUCACCACUUUUCUAAGAUGAUUCCUUCCUUACCCUCCUCACUACAGUGACUUGUGUACUGUUCGCUGUCUGACUUCUCCACUCACUCUAAGGUCGAGGAGAAUGGGAUCGGUGGCUGGUUUGUCCUCCACUGUAUAAGGAAGCACCUGGCCUGGCACAUAGUAGGGCCUCAGUCAAUACUGGUUAGAUGGACAAAUUCUAUACCUGUUACCCAACACACAAAAUAAAGCAAGCAAACCACAGCCAAACCCCCUACUCUUGCUUCUGCAAGUUCAGUGCCAAAAUGUAUGUGAAACAGCCCUGGAAGCCACGUCUGCUCCUAGAGAGGAAGUCUCCUGGAAGCCAGUCUGAGGCAAUUCAUAACCAUGACAUGCACAUCAGUGCUGAAAAGUGGACGGCCCACGUUUUAUCAAAGUGCCAAUAUCUGUGGCCAGAACAGAAGGAGACAUAGGUCUUAUGAAGCUGACCAGGCAAAUGCAGUUCAUGAGCAAGUUCAUUCUCUAAAAAUUGGAUAGUUACAGGAAGCACAGGCUACAGAUUCAAUGUAGUGAACUGAAAAAUGACCCACUUGGGACCAUAAAACGAGGAGGGUAGGACAUACACACUGACUUGGCAGAUCAUCUAGCGCACUGUCUGGUGGAGAGGGGGAAUGAUCCGUCUGGACAGGUGUGCACAUGUAGACUACAGCCCAGAACCUCGAAACUCAGAAUUAAAUCAUUUAAAGAAAAAAAAAAAA